rnacentral:lncRNA from 1 species
AUGUCUGGCUGUGACGCCCGGGAGGGAGACUGUUGUUCCCCGAGAUGCGGAGCGCAGGACAAGGAGCAUCCAAGAUACCUGAUCCCAGAACUUUGCAAACAGUUUUACCAUUUGCGCUGGGUCACUGGGACUGGAGGAGGAAUUGGCUUGAGGCAUGGCGGUGAAAUCUACAUUGCUCCUUCAGGAGUGCAAAAGGAACGAAUUCAGCCUGAAGACAUGUUUGUUUGUGAUAUAAAUGAAAAGGACAUAAGUGGACCUUCGCCAUCUAAGAAGCUAAAAUAAAGCCAGUGUACUCCUCUUCUCAUGAAUGCUUACACAAUGAGAGGAGCAGGUGCGGUGAUUCAUACCCACUCUAAAGCUGCUGUGAUGGCCACCCUUCUCUUUCGAGGAUGGGAGUUUAAAAUUACCCAUCAAGAGAUGAUCAAAGGAAUAAAGAAAUGUACUUCUGGAGGGUAUUAUAGAUAUGAUGAUAUGUUAGUGGCACCCAUUAUUGAGAAUACACCUGAGGAGAAAGACUUCAAAGAUAGAAUGGCUCAUGCAAUGAAUGAAUACCCAGACUCCUGUGCAGUACUGGUCAGACGUCAUGGAGUAUAUGUGUGGGGGGAAACAUGAGAGAAGGCCAAAACCAUGUGUGAGUGUUAUGACUAUUUAUUUGAUAUUGCCGUAUCAAUGAAGAAAGUAGGACUUGAUCCUUCACAGCUCCCAGUUGGAGAAAAUGGAAUUGUCUAA